rnacentral:rRNA from 1 species
GUCGAGGGGUGGGCACUUCGGUGCUUGAGACCGGCGCACGGGUGCGUAACGCGUAUGCAAUCUGCCUUCCACAGAGGGAUAGCCCAGAGAAAUUUGGAUUAAUACCUCAUAGCAUCAUGACCCGGCAUCGGGAUAUGAUUAAAGUCACAACGGUGGAAGAUGAGCAUGCGUCCCAUUAGCUAGUUGGUAAGGUAACGGCUUACCAAGGCAACGAUGGGUAGGGGUCCUGAGAGGGAGAUCCCCCACACUGGUACUGAGACACGGACCAGACUCCUACGGGAGGCAGCAGUGAGGAAUAUUGGUCAAUGGGCGCAAGCCUGAACCAGCCAUGCCGCGUGCAGGAUGACGGUCCUAUGGAUUGUAAACUGCUUUUGUACGGGAAGAAACACUCCGACGUGUCGGAGCUUGACGGUACCGUAAGAAUAAGGAUCGGCUAACUCCGUGCCAGCAGCCGCGGUAAUACGGAGGAUCCAAGCGUUAUCCGGAAUCAUUGGGUUUAAAGGGUCCGUAGGCGGUCUUGUAAGUCAGUGGUGAAAGCCCAUCGCUCAACGGUGGAACGGCCAUUGAUACUGCAGGACUUGAAUUAUUGGGAAGUAACUAGAAUAUGUAGUGUAGCGGUGAAAUGCUUAGAGAUUACAUGGGAAUACCAAUUGCGAAAGGCAGGUUACUACCAGUGGAUUGACGCUGAUGG